UACGGAGGAUCCAAGCGUUAUCCGGAAUUAUUGGGUUUAAAGGGUGCGUAGGCGGCCUUAUAAGUCAGUGGUGAAAUCUCCUAGCUCAACUAGGAAACUGCCAUUGAUACUGGAGGGCUUGAAUUAGUAGGAAGUAACUAGAAUAUGUAGUGUAGCGGUGAAAUGCUUAGAUAUUACAAGGAAUACCAAUUGCGAAGGCAGGUUACUGC
rnacentral:rRNA from 1 species